CGGUAAUUCCAGCUCCAAUAGCGUAUACUAAAGUUGUUGCAGUUAAAAAGCUCGUAGUUGGAUUUCUGCGGGGACGGAGCGGCCGGACGCAACUUGCGUCUCGAGCUAGCGCUUUCCCCGCAUCCUGCCGCGAACCGUGCUACCAUUAGUUUGGUGGCGCUGGGGAUCGGCUCGAUUACUUUGAGAAAAAUAGAGUGUUCAAAGCAGGCCACACGCCUUGAAUAAGUUAGCAUGGAAUAAUGACUAAGGACUUCGGUUCUAUUUUGUUGGUGUUCGGGACUGAAGUAAUGAUUGAUAGGGACAGUUGGGGCGGUCUGUAUUCCAAAGCGAGAGGUGAAAUUCUUAGACCUUCGGAAGACAAACAGCUGCGAAAGCGUUCCGCAAGGAUGUUCCCUUUGAUCAAGAACGAAAGUUGGGGGAUCGAAGACGAUCAGAUACCGUCGUAGUCUCAACUAUAAACUAUACCAGCUAGGGAUCGGUCAACGUUUAAUUAUUCGACUUGAUCGGCACCUUAUGAGAAAUCAAAGCAUCUGGGUUCCGGGGGGAGUAUGGUCGCAAGGCUGAAACUUAAAGGAAUUGACGGAAGGGCACCACCAGCCGUGGAGCCUGUGGCUUAAUUUGACUCAACACGGGAAAACUUACCAGGUCCAGACAUAGUAAGGAUUGACAGAUUGAUAGCUCUUUCUUGAUUCUGUGGGUGGUGGUGCAUGGCCGUUCCUAGUUGGUGGAGUGAUUUGUCUGGUUAAUUCCGUUAACGAACGAGACCCCAGCCUGCUAAAUAGCGCGGCUGAGCUUUGCUCGGUGCGAGCUUCUUAGAGGGACUAUGAUGCGCGAUAGCACAUGGAAGUUUGGGGCAAUAACAGGUCUGUGAUGCCCUUAGAUGUUCUGGGCCGCACGCGGGCUACACUGGCGCCUGCAACGAGCAUAUCAGCUGGCCCGAGAGGGUCUUGGCUAAUCUUUUGAACCGGCGCCGUGCUUGGGAUUGACCUUUGCAAUUGUUGGUCAUGCAACGAGGAAUGCCUUGUAAACGCGAGUCAUCAGCUCGCAUUGAAUACGUCCCUGCCCUUUGUACACACCGCCCGUCGCUCCUACCGAUGAAUGUUCCGAUGAAAUUUUCGGAGAGCGCCAGAGAACGGGGCUCUGCCUUGCAGAUCCGGAGGCUCAAAGUCACUUAAAUCUGAACAUUUCGAGGAAGGAGAAGUCGUAACAAGGUAGCCG
rnacentral:rRNA from 1 species